UACAGAGGGGGCAAGCGUUAUUCGGAAUUAUUGGGCGUAAAGGGCGCGUAGGCGGCUUUGCAAGUGACGGGUGAAAUCCCUCGGCUUAACCGAGGAACUGCCUGUCAGACUGCAUGGCUUGAGACCAGGAGAGGUGAGUGGAAUUCCCAGUGUAGCGGUGAAAUGCGUAGAUAUCAGGAAGAACACCAAUGGCGAAAGCAGCUCUCUGGGACGGUACUGACGCUGAGACGCGAAAGCGUGGGGAGCGAACAGG
rnacentral:rRNA from 1 species